AGCUAGUUGGUGAGGUAAUGGCCCACCAAGGCGACGAUCGGUAGCCGGACUGAGAGGUUGAACGGCCACAUUGGGACUGAGACACGGCCCAGACUCCUACGGGAGGCAGCAGUGGGGAAUAUUGCACAAUGGGGGAAACCCUGAUGCAGCGACGCCGCGUGGAGGAAGAAGGUCUUCGGAUUGUAAACUCCUGUUGUUGAGGAAGAUAAUGACGGUACUCAACAAGGAAGUGACGGCUAACUACGUGCCAGCAGCCGCGGUAAAACGUAGGUCACAAGCGUUGUCCGGAAUUACUGGGUGUAAAGGGAGCGCAGGCGGGCGAUCAAGUUGGAAGUGAAAUCCAUGGGCUCAACCCAUGAACUGCUUUCAAAACUGAUUGUCUUGAGUAGUGCAGAGGUAGGCGGAAUUCCCGGUGUAGCGGUGGAAUGCGUAGAUAUCGGGAGGAACACCAGUGGCGAAGGCGGCCUACUGGGCACCAACUGACGCUGAGGCCCGAAAGUGUGGGUAGCAAACAGGAUUAGAUACCCUGGUAGUCCACACCGUAAACGAUGAUUACUAGGUGUUGGAGGAUUGACCCCUUCAGUGCCGCAGUUAACACAAUAAGUAAUCCACCUGGGGAGUACGACCGCAAGGUUAAAACUCAAAGGAAUUGACGGGGGCCCGCACAAGCAGUGGAGUAUGUGGUUUAAUUCGACGCAACGCGAAGAACCUUACCAAGUCUUGACAUCCUGCGACGAUGCUAGAAAUAGUAUUUUCCUUCGGGACGCAGAGACAGGUGGUGCAUGGUUGUCGUCAGCUCGUGUCGUGAGAUGUUGGGUUAAGUCCCGCAACGAGCGCAACCCUUAUGGUCAGUUACUACGCAAGAGGACUCUGGCCAGACUGCCGUUGACAAAACGGAGGAAGGUGGGGGUGACGUCAAAUCAUCAUGCCCUUUAUGACUUGGGCUACACACGUACUACAAUGGCGUUAAACAAAGAGAAGCAAGACCGCGAGGUGGAGCAAAACUCAGAAACAACGUCCCAGUUCGGACUGCAGGCUGCAACUCGCCUGCACGAAGUUGGAAUUGCUAGUAAUCGUGGAUCAGCAUGCCACGGUGAAUACGUUCCCGGGCCUUGUACACACCGCCCGUCACACCAUGAGAGCCGGGGGGACCCGAAGUCGGUAGUCUAACCGCAAGGAGGACGCCGCCGAAGGUAAAACUGGUGAUUGGGGUGAAGUCGUAACAAGGUAGCCGUAGGAGAACCUGCGGCUG
rnacentral:rRNA from 1 species